GAAACUACCAAGGAUUCCCCUGGUAACUGCGAGUGAAGCGGGAAAAGCUCAAAUUUAAAAUCUGGUAGUCUUUGGCUGCCCGAGUUGUAAUCUAGAGAAGCGUUAUCCGCGCUGGACCGUGUGUAAGUCUCCUGGAAUGGAGCGUCAUAGAGGGUGAGAAUCCCGUCUUUAACACGGACUACCAGGGCUUUGUGAUGCGCUCUCAAAGAGUCGAGUUGUUUGGGAAUGCAGCUCUAAAUGGGUGGUAAAUUCCAUCUAAAGCUAAAUAUUGGCGAGAGACCGAUAGCGAACAAGUACCGUGAGGGAAAGAUGAAAAGAACUUUGGAAAGAGAGUUAAACAGUACGUGAAAUUGUUGAAAGGGAAACGCUUGAAGUCAGUCGCGUUGGUCAGGGAUCAACCUUGCUUUUGCUUGGUGUACUUCCUGGUUAACGGGUCAGCAUCAAUUUUGACCAGUGGAAAAAGGUCAGGGGAAUGUGGCAUCUUAGGAUGUGUUAUAGCCUCUGGCCAUAUACAUUGGUUGGGAUUGAGGAACUCAGCACGCCGCAAGGCCGGGUUUUAACCACGUUCGUGCUUAGGAUGCUGGCAUAAUGGCUUUAAUCGACCCGU
rnacentral:rRNA from 1 species